UUGCAUUGACUGAGGACUUUGGUGCGCGCGCAUGCCAUAGCCGUUUUAUGAUCCAGCUCAAUUAAUGAGCUUAGAUCCAACGCGUGUGGAUUUUCCAUAUUUUCCAAUUUCUGAUUUUAUUUUCUUUAUUUCCUUUCAUUUCAAAAAUUCAUAUCUCUUUUAUUAUUGGUCCAAAAAAUAUGGGACCAAUUGCAUUAUUUCUCUUUUAAUUUCUAGUUUCUAAAAAUGAUUUUUAAUUUUUU
rnacentral:lncRNA from 1 species